rnacentral:rRNA from 1 species
UUGAACGCUGGCGGCAGGCCUAACACAUGCAAGUCGAACGGUAACAGAAAGAAGCUUGCUUCUUUGCUGACGAGUGGCGGACGGGUGAGUAAUGUCUGGGAAACUGCCUGAUGGAGGGGGAUAACUACUGGAAACGGUAGCUAAUACCGCAUAACGUCGCAAGACCAAAGAGGGGGACCUUCGGGCCUCUUGCCAUCGGAUGUGCCCAGAUGGGAUUAGCUUGUUGGUGGGGUAACGGCUCACCAAGGCGACGAUCCCUAGCUGGUCUGAGAGGAUGACCAGCCACACUGGAACUGAGACACGGUCCAGACUCCUACGGGAGGCAGCAGUGGGGAAUAUUGCACAAUGGGCGCAAGCCUGAUGCAGCCAUGCCGCGUGUAUGAAGAAGGCCUUCGGGUUGUAAAGUACUUUCAGCGGGGAGGAAGGGAGUAAAGUUAAUACCUUUGCUCAUUGACGUUACCCGCAGAAGAAGCACCGGCUAACUCCGUGCCAGCAGCCGCGGUAAUACGGAGGGUGCAAGCGUUAAUCGGAAUUACUGGGCGUAAAGCGCACGCAGGCGGUUUGUUAAGUCAGAUGUGAAAUCCCCGGGCUCAACCUGGGAACUGCAUCUGAUACUGGCAAGCUUGAGUCUCGUAGAGGGGGGUAGAAUUCCAGGUGUAGCGGUGAAAUGCGUAGAGAUCUGGAGGAAUACCGGUGGCGAAGGCGGCCCCCUGGACGAAGACUGACGCUCAGGUGCGAAAGCGUGCGGCGCAAACAGGAUUAGAUACCCUGGUAGUCCACGCCGUAAACGAUGUCGACUUGGAGGUUGUGCCCUUGAGGCGUGGCUUCCGGAGCUAACGCGUUAAGUCGACCGCCUGGGGAGUACGGCCGCAAGGUUAAAACUCAAAUGAAUUGACGGGGGCCCGCACAAGCGGUGGAGCAUGUGGUUUAAUUCGAUGCAACGCGAAGAACCUUACCUGGUCUUGACAUCCACAGAACUUUCCAGAGAUGGAUUGGUGCCUUCGGGAACUGUGAGACAGGUGCUGCAUGGCUGUCGUCAGCUCGUGUUGUGAAAUGUUGGGUUAAGUCCCGCAACGAGCGCAACCCUUAUCCUUUGUUGCCAGCGGUCCGGCCGGGAACUCAAAGGAGACUGCCAGUGAUAAACUGGAGGAAGGUGGGGAUGACGUCAAGUCAUCAUGGCCCUUACGACCAGGGCUACACACGUGCUACAAUGGCGCAUACAAAGAGAAGCGACCUCGCGAGAGCAAGCGGACCUCAUAAAGUGCGUCGUAGUCCGGAUUGGAGUCUGCAACUCGACUCCAUGAAGUCGGAAUCGCUAGUAAUCGUGGAUCAGAAUGCCACGGUGAAUACGUUCCCGGGCCUUGUACACACCGCCCGUCACACCAUGGGAGUGGGUUGCAAAAGAAGUAGGUAGCUUAACCUUCGGGAGGGCGCUUACCACUUUGUGAUUCAUGACUGGGGUG